GCUACUUACGACAAGAAAAAAAUGUCCCCUCCCGAUUCCCUCUUCUACCGGUGACCCUAGCCGCCGCUCCCCGCUCCCCGCCGCGCCAAUCCCCGACUCCCUGCCGACCCGUGCGCGCUCCUGGGCCCUCCGCGGCGCCGCCCACCUCGUCGCACUCCCGCCGCCGUCACCCCUCGCCCUCGGCUCCCUCGGACCCCCGUUGCGCCUGGCCGUCGUGCUGACCUGCCGCUGCUGACUCCGACGCCGGCGGCCGACUGCCCGAUCUCCUCCACCUGCAGCUGCUAAUCGACAUCGAUCCGUGCUCCUUCAUCUGCGACCCGGUUUUCUUGCAAUGGUUUUCGGUGGCGGCUUCAAAUUUUUAGUGGGAGUGGGAUGUGGUGUCUAUGUAGCUCAGAACUACAACGUUCCAAAUGUCAAGAAGCUGUUCAACACGUAUGUUUUCCUGGCAAAGCACGUUGAGGAAACAUACCGUAAGCCGCCGCCGAAGAAAGACGAUGACUGAUUAUCACGCCCAUGGCAAAAAGAAGUAUACUCUGACUUGACAGAAACAUGAUCUUCGUGAAUAUUGAAGUAGUUAUUAUGAUAUUUGCAAGUGCUGAGAAUACAAGCUGUGAAGUUUGUCAUGGCAAGGCUUGUGGAUCUUUAUAUGAUAAAACCUUAGUGUUUUUUGACGUCCCAUCCAAAUAGUAUGGCACUGGUUGAAAUUUCAUAAUAAAUGGGUGUCUGGCGUCUUACCAAGAGUGCCCCGAUUUGCUAUC